UUCCACCCGUCCCAAGAUGGCGGCGGGUGAGUGAGGCCAGGCUGGUGGGCGGAGCGCGAGGGAUGGGCGUGGCCUCUGGGCUCGCCCCCGCCUCCAGCCCCGCCCUCUGGCACAUCCUAAGAUGGCGGAUUGGAUGUGCUGUCCUUGAGCCCUGUGAAGCACAUUUCUCAUGGUGCUUAGGCCUUUGCUCUGUAUAGCCUGCUGCUAUAAGAAGCUGAUGUCUCACGAGGGGUAGGGCCAUGACUUCUACACAGGCCCUCAGGGUUGGACGAAUGGACUCACUGGAGCCUCCUAUCCCAUUUGUUCUACAAUCCACCUGUUGAAUGAUACCAACAUUUUUUGAGCUCUGCUCAGAUAACAUGAAGAA
rnacentral:lncRNA from 1 species